UAGGGAAUCUUCGGCAAUGGGGGGCAACCCUGACCGAGCAACGCCGCGUGAGUGAAGAAGGUUUUCGGAUCGUAAAGCUCUGUUGUAAGAGAAGAACGUGUGUGAGGGUGGAAAGUUCACACAGUGACGGUAACUUACCAGAAAGGGACGGCUAACUACGUGCCAG
rnacentral:rRNA from 1 species